GCGGGUGUGCUGCAAUUGGUCGACAGGGCGCCCUCAAAAGGCGCUGUCCUUCGGGGCAUGUGGGUUCGAGUCCCACCACCCGCA
rnacentral:tRNA from 1 species